CUAAGAUGUCAGCCUGCCCAGUGACAAAGUUCAACGGCCGCGGUACCCUGACCGUGCGAAGGUAGCAUAAUCACUUGUUCUUUAAAUAGGGACUUGUAUCAACGGCACUACGAAGGCUAUACUGUCUCCUUUUUCUAAUCAGUGAAACUGAUCUCCCCGUGAAGAAGCGGGGAUUAAAGUAUAAGACGAGAAGACCCCAUGGAGCUUUAAACUCACCAUGCACCUCUGUGCUCCUACACCCUUAAACACAAUAGGUCUGCAUGUUAGUUUUAGGUUGGGGUGACCACGGAGUAUAACUUAACCUCCAUAGCAAAUGGGCUAAUACCCUUAUCCACGAGACACAACUCUAAGAAUUAUUAAACUAAUGCUUACGACCCGAUAUUCGAUCAAUGAACUAAGUUACCCUGGGGAUAACAGCGCAAUCUACUUCAAGAGCCCAUAUCGACAAGUAGGUUUACGACCUCGAUGUUGGAUCAGGGUAUCCUGGUGGUGCAGCCGCUACCAACGGUUCGUUUGUUCAACGAUUAAAACCCUACGUGAUCUGAGUUCCAGAACCGGA
rnacentral:rRNA from 1 species